UACCGAGGUGGCAAGCGUUGUUCGGAAUUACUGGGCGUAAAGGGCGAGUAGGUGGCCAUCUAAGUCAGACGUGAAAUCCCCCGGCUUAACCUGGGAACUGCGUCUGAUACUGGACGGCUAGAGUUUGGGAGAGGGAUGCAGAAUUCCAGGUGUAGCGGUGAAAUGCGUAGAUAUCUGGAGGAAUACCGGUGGCGAAGGCGGCAUCCUGGACCAACACUGACACUGAAUCGCGAAAGCUAGGGGAGCAAACGGG
rnacentral:rRNA from 1 species